rnacentral:lncRNA from 1 species
UCAGAAAACUUGACAGCAAUAUGGGAGGUGUGACAGUCAAGAACAGGGGCAUAUCCAUUUCCAAUCUGGCCAGGGUGAUUCAUGAUAAUAACUUGGGAGGUAAAGUUGGCUGCUUCCUUGGCGGGAUCGUCCUUCGAGUUGGAUGCAACGUAGCCACGCUUGAGAUCCUUGACAGCAACAUUCUUCACAUUAAACCCAACGUUGUCCCCCGGAAGAGCCUCCUGGAGAGCCUCAUGGUGCAUCUCCACAGACUUAACUUCAGUGGUCAACCCAGAGGGACCAAAAGUGACAACCAUCCCAGGCUUAAUGACACCAGUCUCAACACGGCCGACAGGGACAGUUCCGAUACCACCAAUCUUGUACACGUCCUGAAGUGGGAGACGGAGGGGCUUGUCAGAUGGUCUCUUGGGCUCAUUAAUCUGGUCGAGGGCCUCGAGCAAUGUUGGACCCUUGUACCAGUCAAGGUUGGUAGACCUCUCAAUCAUGUUGUCUCCCUCGAAUCCGGAGAUGGGGACAAAUGGAAUCUUGUCAGGGUUAUAUCCCACCUUCUUCAGGUAAGAAGAGACUUCCUUAACAAUUUCAUCAUACCUAGCCUUGGAGUACUUGGGGGUGGUGGCAUCCAUCUGUCACAAUAGAUGCCAAAGUUAGGUCGUCAAUCAACACACCCAGAUGAAGCCAUCAACAGCAGUGUGGAACAUUAAAUAUUACCUUGUUACAGCAGCAAAUCAUUUGCCUGACACCAAGGGUGAAAGCAAGGAGAGCAUGUUCACGGGUCUGGCCAUCCUUGGAAAUACCAGCUUCGAAACCACCAGUGGUGGAAUCAAUGAUAAGGACAGCACAGUCGGCCUGGGAGGUUCCAGUAAUCAUAUUCUUAAUAAAGUCACGAUGUCCAGGAGCAUCAAUGACAGUGCAGUAGUACUUGGUGGUCUCGAACUUCCACAAGGCAAUAUCAAUGGUAAUACCGCGCUCGCGCUCGGCCUUGAGCUUGUCAAGCACCCAAGCAUACUUGAACGAUCUCUUGUUCAUCUCAGCAGCUUCCUUCUCGAAUCUCUCAAUCACACGCUUGUCGAUUCCUCCGAGCUUGUAUAUCAAGUGGCCAGUAGUGGUUGACUUCCCAGAAUCGACAUGGCCAAUGACCACAAUGCUGAUGUGAAUCUUCUCCUUACCCAUUUUGAUGUACGAGGCUUAAACUGUCCAAUGAAAAAAGAGAAAAUUAUUAGACGUUAGGAUAAGGAUUUAAAGCAUCUUGAAAAAGCAAAAGUAACUGUGAGAACAAGAAAACUCAUAUUAAUAACAACAUCGAUCUAACAUUUCCACAUUGUCAAUCGCAGCAUAUUUUUAACACCGUGUCUCCCAACAAGAAAUUUCACAUAAGAUUCCAAUCACAAGAAAUCAUACAUAAAAUUCUAAUAAAAUUCAGUCAGACAACCAAUUUGAGACAUGUUCCAAUCUCGGUCGAGUAAGACAACGGACCACUUUUUCGAAACACACAUCCGAAACACGCAAUCCAGGCUUCUCAAGAUUCAAAGCAAACAUAAGAAAAAGGACAAAAGCUAAAAUCAUGAGAUAUUAAAAAAAAAAAAAAAAAACCCAAUCUCACACCCACGCAUGAGUGCGGUGGAAGGAGAUCAAAUCAGACCAGGACCAUCGAACCAAUCAUACAAAAACGCCGCCUUCCCAGGCUCCUCCAGUCGUAACCUUAUCUUAGAUACCAGACUCCGCCGCGACAGCCACAAAACGGCCAAGCUAAAAACCACCCACGACAGCAAAUCCACCACCCAUUCUCCUCAACAGACUCGAGGGAGAAAGCUACCCAGCCGAGUUCCGAACAAUCUCGAGCUCAGAAAACACAAAGCAAACAAAACAAAACAAGCAAGCAACGCAAGCACGAACAACCGAUGAUCGAACAACAAGGUCAGCGAUCAAGAACAAGAACGAGAGGAGAUUGAAGGGUCACCUCGGCAGAUCUCGCAGCUGGCCGCGAGAGGGAGAGAGAGGUGACGAGCAGCAGCAGCAGAAGGGAAGGGCAGGGCAGGAUUAGGGUUUGAGAGUGAGGAACGCAGCCUUACACGAGGCUUUAUAUAGCACCCCUCGCUAAUGCCAUUUUUCGUUUCCCAGGAGUGUCCUCAUCUCGCGCUCAUAAUUUCGACAUUGGCCUCUUCAAGCUUCUUUUUUUUUUUUUUUUCCAUUUUUAUUCUUGCUUUCCUUGAUAAUUACCGAGUGGCCAUGCUAUUUCCAUCCCUCAAUUAUUAAAUACACCCUUAUUUACACUAGAGGAACAAAAUUGCCCUCAAUCUUUCGAUUGCAAUUUAAAUAAUGGCCCAUUUCCUCUCUUUUUUUCUAAUUUUUUUCUAUUUAUGAUAUUGCCAUAAUUAAGCUUUUCACAUGUUUUGUUUGUUAGCGUAUCAAAGAAAAUUGCAUUAUCGGAUAAAAGAAAGAUAGUGCCUCUAAUAUACAUAGAAAAUAUAAAAUUAACUAAAAUUAAACAUAUAAAUUCUUAACUAUGGUAAGUAAAUCUUAUGUAGAUAUAAAAACUAAAAAAAAAAAAAAGUAAAUAAAUUUGGGACUACUAAUGUAAGAUAGAUGCAACUUUGUAUUUUUGGAAGAGUUAGGUGAAUUUAGUUAUAUAAGGAAUGGAAAGAGCGUUGCCCUUACCAUAUACACUCUCAAUUUGUUUUUGUCUACCAUAGUACAUUUACUAUUUUUUAAAAGUUUCAGUCCGUACCAUGAUUAUUUAUUUUAUAAAUCUUCAAUCAUGAUCAUAUUUCUAUUUUUCUUCCAAAUUUUAGCCAUCACUUUUCCAAUCUCCCACACUCCCACAUCGUGUUUUGUUUACUUAAAAAUGGAAAAAUCACACUAAUAGUUCUUUAACUUUGACCGAGUGCACAACGUCAUUCUUAAAUUUUUUGUUCUUCUUUUGUUUGAAUGCGCAAGAGAGAGAGUCACAAGUCUCUAAACUAUCAUGAUAGAUACAAUAUGGUCUUUAAAUAUAGCUAAAUGUGCAACCUAAAUUCUUAAACUUUCAAUUUGCCUGAUUUAGUCACUCGAUAUUCCAUAACUAGGUCAAAUCAUUCCUUCUAUCACUAUUGUUGAUUUCGUAAUAUUAUUUCAUUUCAAUCCAUUUCCUCAAUAACAAAAAAAGUGGCUAUCUUUCUAUUUACUUUUUUAUCUUAUUGAUAUUAUAUAUAUUACGAUAGUUCUACUUAAUUAUACCUUAGCUUAUUAUCUCUAUGAUAGUAAAAGUAGAAUCCCAUUGAGAGCAAUAUCAGUUUGAUAUUUUUUCUUCUAUUUAAUUUUAAGUAUUUUCAUAAUACUAUCUGAAAUAUAUAUAUAUAUAUAUAUAUAUAUAUAUAUAUUUGUAUAACUCUCUAUAGAUACUUGUACUUACAUUAAUCUAAAUCUCAUUCCUAUCGUUUAAUAAACUUAUCAAGUUUUUACGUUUCUCGUAUUCUUCAUUAAAUUCAGUUAAAUUCAUUGUUUGCAUGGACUGAUGUCUUUUUUUUUUUUUUUUCAAGAUUGUGUGGGCUUCGACUUCCUAGUGAAUGGAAAUCAUUACUUAACUUAAUUACUUAAAUCAAAGUCCAAAAAAAAAAUUGACCCAAAGUGCAACCAACAAACAAUUUCCAUUUGAUGUAAUUUUAAUUCCAUCCGACGAUUGCUCACCCAAUUUGAUGACGUGCUACGCUGUAAAGUCAAUAUGGCAUUUUUUAAUAUUUUUUUUACGUACGUAGAGUUGAGUCAUCGACACGCUGCCAAACGGGUGCUGCAUUAGAAAGUAGGCCAAACGGAGAUAUUUAUGAUAUACUACUAAAAUUUACAUUCGAGAUUUCAAAUAAUGAAUCAAGAUAUAUUUUAGGCUGGUGAUUGCAUUUUAAAGCUAAAACAUCAGUACAAGUUAAAAAAAAUUCCACUUUAGUUGUCCCACGUAAAGAUUACGUUAAUUAAAUUCGGCUAAAUGGGUAUUCUUUUUCUGAUUCGUUAACUUAUUUUGAACAUCUACAAUAUGGUGAUUUCCUUUACGGUCCUCCUUUUCCAAGCCUGCUCAUGGUGUCAAGUUCUCAACAAAACGUAUCCCGUGCUCUUUGAUUGAGAAUUUACACUAGCACUCUACCUAAGGUGACAAAUGGCAAACAUGGCAUCCAAAUAUACCGUAUUUCUUGCUCAUUUUGGUCCCACUCGUGCCUCGUUUUUAUCUUUCCAGUUGGCAAUAAAAGGUCGUCGUGCUUCCAAAUAUCAAAUCCAGUAGUCUACGCUCGCGGUGGCUGUCACAGGUAGGAGUGUCCAAAAACUCAACCCGAACGCGAUAUUUUAGGUCUUAAUAUUAUUUAGGUAACAAUUACAAAACAAGCAAACAACCAUGUUUUGAGUCGGGUUGAGGUCGAAACAUUGUUCGGCUGGUGAACACAUUAUUAAUCUUAAACAAUGAAACAAACACGUUCUCUCAUCUCACCAAAAUACAAAACAUCCACACCCAAAGCCAAACACAUUGGUUCCGGACGACUCUUCCUUCUUGCCUUCUCCUCUUGUCGACUCCACCACCAUCAGCUACUACGCCUUCUCCGCUCAUACACUCCGCCGCUGCUGCCAGCGUCGACUCUGCUGCCACUGUCGGCGUCGAUUCUGCCACCACCCUCUUCUUUGCUCUUGCAUUCUAGGUUUCGCUUCGCGGUAAAAUCACCGCCCGUCACUCCUAUUUUGAGCCAUCUUCGUCCCCAAUUUGCAACCCAGGAAUCAAGCUUUGCCGGUUCAUCGUCUUGCCUUACAAUCGUUAUUACUAGCACAGGCCUCUCUUUCCUUUUUUUUUUUUUUUUUUUUUUUGUUUCCUUCUAGUUUUUCGUUUUCUCGUCGCCCUUCGACCUAAUUAUCGGGCUUUCGCUGGAAAACUUAGAGCUUGCUCUUUUUUUCUAUCCAAUGCUUGUGAAGAAAGAGCGACAUUGAAUCUCGAGAUGCUUUGCUUGGAGCUCCGCGUGUUCUUCACAAGUGAUCAUUCCGUGUUUGUUUUUUUAUGUGGUUUCUGGGAGAAUGGCUGUUGGCCCAUCACUCCUUUCCCCUCUCUUUCUCCUCUCUGUUUGCUAAUCUUGCUUUUCUUUUCUUUGCUACUUCAAUUUUUAUAAGUCUUUGGUGAUGAUUUUUCCUCUGCGAAAAAAUCAAAUCAAAACAGGGUUAGAGAAGUCGUACCUUCCACAUUGGGGCCUUUUGGAAUGAGAACUUAUUAUACUGUCUGAACUUUAUCGAAAGUGCGUGCAUUUGCUGUCAAUGUUGUUGUUCCCUUCUAAUAAAGUGUGAUCCUAACGCUUCAAAAGGGUCAUUAUGUCCCAACUUUGAAUAGGGUACAUUUACAGAGAAUGGAAAUAGAAUGAUUAAAUUGUGGGACUAGUGCCAAAUGUCACUUGUGGAAGUAAGGGCUCAUGAUAAGAAAAGGGUUGGAUCUUGUUUGCUGUAUAUGUACUUCUAACUUGAAAGAAGAUUUGAAAACAUCAGGGAAGCGGGAGCUGAACUUCGAGCUCAAACGUUACCUAGUGAUCAUUUUCACAGCUGAAUUUUAAUCUCAUCUUGUUUGACCUUUUUAUCUCAUUUUACUAUGGAACUGUGUCAGUAAAUAAGCUUAACCUUUUCCAGAUGGAGCUUCUUUAUGAAUGCUUUGGUAGAGCUGAAUGAGGGAUGGCUUCAUAACGUUAGAAAGGAAAAUUGGAACGAUUCUUCUAUUUUUUUUGUUUUUUGAUUUUUUAAUAAAUUGUUGACUGUCCCUUUAGAUAAUAAACAAAUAAAUCCAGUUCCUAGGCAUGUUAUGUAUAGUUCUAUGCUUCAAAAUUUAAUCGAACUGUUCUCUUAAAACUAGCAGAGGAACUCAAUAGGAAAUUCGUUGGGCGAUAAAGAAGAGGUGAGAGCGGAAAAAGAAGAGGGGAAAAAAAUGUAGACCCAGAACCCAACCUGGACCGGACCGAAUUAUUGCUUCAGGUAUUAUGCAUUUUGGGUCGGGUCAGGUAACGCCAAAACCCGACCUGACCCAUUGACGACCCUAAUCACAGACACACACAUAAUAAACACUAAAUAUCAGUAAAAGCAUGCAAAUCCAUAUAAUAGAGCGCAGGAGCUCACCACUCUCCUGCACGGCACUUCAACAGAAUAUCUAUACCAAUAUCCAGAAAACAAAGCAGACUCAGAAACACACCUGUUUGGCCCCGAAAGACACAGAAUACAAGUAAAAGAAAGACUCAAAACAGACUCAUAGAAGUAAAAAAGCGCCGCCACCGCCUGUCAAGCACCCAGUUCUGCAACCAGCAACUCGAUGAGGAUAGGAACGCGAGGCCACAACCAGCAAACCAUUUGCCCACCCGACCAACAUGGACAUAGCCAACAACUGCCAAAGAUUUAUUACUCCACCUGAGGAGACGAUGCUCAAAUGUUGAAGUGCCGACAAUGAACCACGCAAUUCACUUGCCACCCUUCUUGGCAGCAGACUUUGUGACCUUGGCACCACUAGGAUCCUUCUUCUCCACAUUCUUGAUGACGCCGACGGCGACGGUCUGACGCAUGUCCCUCACGGCAAAACGACCGAGGGGAGGAUACUCAGAGAAAGUCUCAACGACCAUGGGCUUGGUGGGGAUCAUCUUCACCAUCCCAGAGUCACCAUUCUUCAAGAACUUGGGUUCCUUCUCAAGCUCCUUACCAGAUCGCCUGUCAAUCUUGGUCACCAGCUCAGCAAACUUGACAGCAAUGUGGGAGGUGUGGCAGUCAAGAACAGGGGCAUAACCAUUUCCGAUUUGUCCGGGGUGGUUCAUGAUGAUAACUUGGGAGGUGAAGUUGGCUGCUUCCUUGGCGGGAUCGUCCUUUGAGUUGGAAGCAACAUAACCACGCUUGAGAUCCUUGACAGCAACAUUCUUCACGUUAAACCCAACGUUGUCACCUGGAAGGGCCUCCUGGAGAGCCUCAUGGUGCAUCUCCACGGACUUAACUUCAGUGGUCAAUCCAGAGGGACCAAAAGUGACAACCAUCCCAGGCUUAAUUAAACCAGUCUCAACACGGCCGACAGGGACAGUUCCGAUACCACCAAUCUUGUACACGUCCUGAAGUGGGAGACGGAGGGGCUUGUCAGAUGGUCUCUUGGGCUCAUUAAUCUGGUCGAGGGCCUCGAGCAAUGUUGGACCCUUGUACCAGUCAAGGUUGGUAGACCUCUCAAUCAUGUUGUCUCCCUCGAAUCCGGAGAUGGGGACAAAUGGAAUCUUGUCAGGGUUAUAUCCCACCUUCUUCAGGUAAGAAGAGACUUCCUUAACAAUUUCAUCAUACCUAGCCUUGGAGUACUUGGGGGUGGUGGCAUCCAUCUGUCACAAUAGAUGCCAAGUUAGGUCGUCAAUCAACACACCCAGAUGAAACCAUCAACGGCAGUGUGGAACAUUAAAUAUUACCUUGUUACAGCAGCAAAUCAUUUGCCUGACACCGAGGGUGAAAGCAAGGAGAGCAUGUUCACGGGUCUGGCCAUCCUUGGAAAUACCAGCUUCAAAACCACCAGUGGUGGAAUCAAUGAUAAGGACAGCACAGUCGGCCUGGGAGGUUCCAGUAAUCAUAUUCUUAAUAAAGUCACGAUGUCCAGGAGCAUCAAUGACGGUGCAGUAGUACUUGGUGGUCUCGAACUUCCACAAGGCAAUAUCAAUGGUAAUACCACGCUCGCGCUCGGCCUUGAGCUUGUCAAGCACCCAAGCGUACUUGAACGAUCUCUUGUUCAUCUCAGCAGCUUCCUUCUCGAAUCUCUCAAUCACACGCUUGUCGAUACCUCCAAGCUUGUAAAUCAAGUGGCCAGUGGUAGUUGACUUGCCAGAGUCGACAUGGCCAAUGACCACAAUGUUGAUGUGAACCUUCUCCUUACCCAUUUCGAGAUAUGGGGCUUAAAGCUGCGAAAAGGAAGAAAAACGAUUCUCAGAUUGGAGAGAAAUUGGACAACGGGUAAAGAGAGAGGAAAGGAAAUACAGCAACAAAAUGAAAUAAAGUGGAUGCAAGAUAAAUGCGAAGAUACACCAUUUGUCAAGAUUUGUACAAGAAAAAUGCAUUGUAUUUGUAAGACAGCAAAUUCAGCCUCACAUAUCAACAUCCAUAUGGUCAAUUGAAAAUCACUGCACUCCCUAUUUUCCAUGACUCCUUCGUUAGAAUUCAAACGAUAAAAUGGGGAGUAAACGGGCUGGGAUGCUAUGCUAAUGAAAUCCACAGACUGUCAUCGACAACGAAAUGAAAACUAUCAUGAUGUCACCUCCAUCACCAGCGCAACGAAGCAUAUUUCGAAUAAGAAAAUUCAAAACGCAGUACAGACCAUAUCUGAACAAACUGGCUGUUCACAGGUUGGGAAGCCGAUUCCCAUUCAACAAGAACCGAUUGCAGCACAACAACCAUCGGACCAUCAGCACGCACUGCUCGGGCUAUAAUCGAUUCAUCGCACACCCCCGAAACACCCCGUCGAUCAUUCCCGGCGCCCACGCAAUACACUCCCUCAUCAGGAAAUUAAAAAGAAAAGAAAAGAAAAGAAAAAACGUAACGACGCCAUCGAAUCCUCCGAAUCGCACAGCAAUCAGACGCGGAUAGACUCGCGAAGCUCGAGCAGGACCGAUCAACCAGAAUCGGAAGCCGGCGACGAUCAUCGACUCCACACGACUCGCGCUACGCCAUCGGGAAAACGAAACUUCCGCCGGCAACGAUCGAUCAGACGACAGACGCAGAACGAAUCCCAGCCAAAAAAAAAAAAAAAAACAAACAAAACAAAAAAAGCACGUUCGGAAAGUCAACGUCGAGUCAGCACAGCCACACCAGUUCAAGCGAAGCAAAACGAACACCAUCGACGCCAAUCCAUCACGCGGUCGAACGGAACGCAUAGAGCAUGAGCAGAAGAAGCAACCAGAGGAGGAAGAAGACGAAAAACGACCUCACCUCGGAAAAUCUCGGCCGCCGAGAAUCUCGAAAACCAGUGAAUCAACCAGCGAAAGAGACGACGGGGAAAUGAAUGCGCGGGUGGCACGGUAGGGUUCUGAGGGCGCUCGCUUUUAUACCGCUUCCCACCCUCGCGACGCUCCGAUUCCGCAAUUGCCCCCGCUUCGAGCGCCUAAUUCCGAAAUUGCCCUCGGGCGUUUUCUCUUUGCUUGGGGAGCAAGGCAGUGGAGGCUCCCAGGAUGGGAAAAUGUCCCGACCUUUUUUGCUGGCGAUUAAAAUAUUACAGUUGGCGGAGGAACAACUUCUCGAAAACGAAUUCUUUUUUUUUUUCGUUUGGUUUGAGGUUUUUGUCUUUUUGUUCUUUUUGUUCUUUUUUCUUUUUUUGCAACAGAAAAAAAAAAUCGCAAAAGAGACGCGAUAAUGUGUCAAUGAAAUAAUUUGCGCAUCUUUCCGACGUGGAGAUGCUCUUCCACCGCCAUCCUUUCCAAAAGAUACUAAGAAAGAUAUAUUGACUAAGGGGAUACGACGUACAAACCAAUCGAAAUUUAUCCCUUUUUUCCGAAGUAGGCCGAAAUUGCACAAUAAUCGAACGGAGAUAUGAUAUCUGCCUUGCGUACCACGUUAGGAUCGUUUAUCAUUUGUGCUCGUUGAAAACUAUAACAAUAAAUUGGCGAGAGUAGUUGGGGACCAUUCAAAUAUCCAGAAGAGCCGAUUUUGUCAAAGUAGCAAUGUAAUGUGGGAAUUGAGUCAUGUGGACUUAGGGUGUUAAAUGGGUUGCAUAACCCAUUUAUAGACCUAUUUAUGGUUAAAUGGGUCAUUAAUGGGUCAAGCUUUCUGCUUUCUUUCAUAAAGCACCCAUAAUGGGUUUUAAUGAGUUUUAAUGGGUCAAGACUAAGAUAUAUGGAUUUUAAAUGGGUUAGAGAGUUGACCCAUUUAUGACCCAUUUAUCAACCCAUUAAAAAUGAACCUAUUAAUUUUCACUCAAAAUCCCACCAUCUCUCUCCUCUCUUUAACUUUACAAUUUUUUUUUUUUUAUAAAAACCGAAAUUAUAAUUAUUUUUUUUUCUUUCUUCUUCCUCCGGUCGCCGGCACGGCGAUGGCCGGCGACCGGCCAGGCGAGCCUCGCUGAUCUGGCGAGACUCGAACUCGCCGGCGUUGGGCGAGGGGCGAGCUCGAGCUCGCCAGAUCUGGCGAGGCGGAGGCCUCACCGACGUCCGGCGAGGCUCGAGCUUCGCCAGAUCCGGCGAGGGGCGAGCUCGAGCUCGCCCGACGCUGGCGAGGCUCGAGCUCGCCGGAUCUGGAGCCUCGCCGAUCUGGCGAGACUCCAGCUCGCCGACGUCGGGCGAGCUCGAGCUCGCCGGAUCUGGCGAGACUCGAGCUCGCCGGAUCUGGCGAGCCUCGAGCUCGCCGGCGUCGGCGAGCCGGGCGAGCUUGAGGCUCGCUUGUGGCCGGCCGCCGGCUGUCGUCGUGGCCGGCGGCUGACCAAAGAAGAAGAAGAAAAAAGAAAAAAAGAAAAAGAAAAAAAAAAUUAAAUAUUAUAUUCUUAAAAAUAAAAAUAAUUAAAAAAUUAAUUUUUAAAAAAUAAAAAAUAAUUAAAAUUCGAAAUUUUUUAAAAUAAUUAUUUUAAAAAUUAUAAAAAUUAUCAAUUAAAUUUGUGUUGUAUAAAACCAUUUUAGCAAUAUCAUUUUAAAAAUAUAUAUAUAAACUUUUUUAGGUUUCGUUAAAUGGGUCGGGUAUGGAUCGGGUACGGGUCGGGUCGGGUAUGGGUUAAAAAUUUUGCACUGUAAUAAAUGGGUCAUAAACGGGUUAAAUGGGUCGAUUUGGGUUGGACCAUUUAUGACCCGACCCAAACCCGACCUGACCCACCCGUUUAACGGGUCUAUGUGGACUAUAAUAGGGGAGGCGGAAGAAGUUGAAUUAGUAAGUUAUGUGCAAAUGUUGAAUGCUGAAAAAUAGCCGACGUGUUAUUUAUUGACAACCGGUGGACUCAAUCAAUGAGAAUAGAAUUUGGUCAAAACAAAAAAUCAUCGGCGAACAAGAUGAUAGGUGAAUUACGGACUUGUCGACAAGGAAGAAAAUCAACAAUGCGUAGUCUGAAAAUUGUCUAACUUCACCGAUGUUUAAGAGAAGUUGAUCAAUAAAGUUAUCAACACUAAAUAAUCCUAUUAUUUUGGUCAAGCGUUAAGGUUGUGAAAUUAAUGAACUCAAUGAAAGCAUGUGAACACAUCAAUCGAAGACAGACAAUGAAUCAACAUCAGCACAUGACUACUAUGUCAAUAUUCUGGAGAAUUGUAAAUUUUUUUAGGUAAUCAUUGUAAUCUUGUCAGGUGUUUAUAAUGCAUAUACGCUUAGAAAUUUAUUUACAGAUUCAAAAUCCAUAAUCAUACGUACUAACUGAUGUUAGUGGGAUAUAAAAAUCCAUGAUAUAAUCUUUGUCAUUAACACUCACACAAUCAAUGACGGCAUGCCUUUUCUUUUCUUUUUUGUGACUCAGGAAUCGCCGUACAGCUGGCAGCCGGCGGCAUAAACCCAGGGCGACCCGAGAGGAGACGACAUGCCUUUUUAUCUUUAGUUCCCUUGCAAAAUUUGCAUUUCUGGCAACCUUUUGAUUUCCAAUAUUAUUUACAUUUCUUGUGACCUUUUCUUUCCUAGUACCUACACUUAAAAUUCCUUUGCAUUUCGUACCAUAUUCCUUUCUUGUCAAAAUCAACAAAGAACGUUUUCUCACAAUCUGUCUUUCUCGAGUCAAAUUGCAAUCCAUCAUUUUUUCGAAAGACAGGGCGAUAAAGAAGAUCUAAUGAUAUUUUUAUUUAAAUUGAAAACUAUCAUUAGAUCUAAUGAGAAAAAAGAAGAAGAAAACGACAGGAAUAUACAGAAAUUUUAAGAGGGAAAAAACUGAAAAAUUUAGCGUGUACAUCAAAAUCAUUUUAUUUCGAUCAAAACUAUUUUUUUUGUUUUUAAAAAUUAUUUUGAAAUAAAACUCCGUUCGAUAACGUAAUUUUAUUUUUGUAUUUUUAGAGCAAAUUUUCAAUCUAGAAAUAAAUUUGGAACAUAAAUAAAAAGUAAAAAAAAAUUAUACUCUCUUUCUAAAAUAGAAAUGAGAAAUAAACAAUCUUUCCAUUACUCGUCCUCGCUACUAACUGUCCGCUCACCUAUCGCUAUUUGCAGCCAUCAGUCGUUGUCAGUCCUGGACCAUAUGUUGGUCGAUAGUCGCUCACUAUCUUCAGCAGCUACUGGUUCCUGGCCAUCCGUUGGUCACUAUUCGCUUGCCACAUUUAGUUAUCGCUUGUUGAGAGGGAGAAAUUUCUUAUCGUUAUCAUAUAAAUAUAUAUUUUAAGAAGAGAAAUUUUGUAUCGUCAUCAACUAUGUAUUUUUAAAUAAUAAAAAUAAUAGAAAUUAGGUCGAUUUUGAGUGUGACCCAUGCUUCCCCUUGCCAUUGGAUGACUUCGGACUUCGGUGGAGGAUUUUGCUAAAAGAUUUAAGGAGGGGGGGGGGGAGAUGGAGGGAAUUGUUCGCGAUGGAAUCAAAGCUUCUUUGACGGCCGCUCCUAAGUGAUUAUUCUGGCUCUUGGAUUUACUUUUCGAACGACGAAUUUGACCGCAAGCUAUCUGUGUCAGGCGGAGAGCCUCCGAGGAUUCUCCACAUGGACCGACUUUUUUUAUCUUUUAGUAUUGAGAAAAAUCUUCACAUUUCAUAAUUAUCUUCUGUCUAGAAAAACCAUUUUGCAGGAUGCACGUGGUCCUUUCAUCUCUGGUGAUCCCGAUAUGCCUAUUAUUGUCCUAGCACGCUUGUCUUAUUACGAGAUUACCCUUGGGCUCCGACUGUACAAGGAUAACUUCUAUAAGAAGCAAAAUAAGAUCAGCGUUCCGAAAAUAUCUCUUCCAUGUACACUAUUCCCACGACCUUCUGAAUACUUUUCCUUCUUCCUCGAAGCACGGUGCCGACAAAAGUUAAGAGUUAGAGCGUUAGCUCAAUAUAUUAAGCACGAUUUUAGAAAUAUGUUCUCCGUUCAUCACUCUGUAAAUCAUAAUUUCUGAAAUUCAAGAGUUUUAUGAUAUAGAUAAGUGAUUUUAAAAAACUAAAAAGAAGUCCCCUCGAAAGUUUUAAGAAAACAACCUUGUGUCGUUGGAUAGCAUUACUGUCUUGGGAACUAUUAAUUUUAUACCAUGGACCCCUCAAUGUGCUCUUCAUGCCCCUAAUAAUUCCAAGAAGCAUGCUAAACUCUCGUCAAGUAAUUACAACAAAUCGAGUUCAAGCAUGCUCACACUUCGAGCUAAUUUUGAGAUCGACUAUGUUUGCAUGAAACUAUAACUAUAUAUGGGCCAGAGUAGUUGAGGAAUAGUCAAGUACUUGAAAGAGCCGGUUAUGUCGAAGUAAUGAUGUUAGAGUUGAGUCAUAUGGCGUGGAAUAGGCGAGUUUGGAAGAAGCCGAAUUAGUGAGUCGUGCAAAUGUGGAGCACUAAAAAGUGGCCGACUCUCUAGUUAUUGACAAGUGUCAGAUUGACUGGUAAGAGCAGCAUUUGGUCAGAACGAAAGCCAUCGGUGAACAAGCCGAUGAAGAAAAUCAACAAAGCACAGUGCAAAAAUUAUCAAUGAAAGCCUUCGCAAGGCUUAAGAGAAGAUGAUCGACAAACUCAUCAAUACUAAACUCCCGUUAAGUAAUUACGACAAAUUUGAAUGGAAGCGUACUCACGGCUCGAGCAACUUCUGAGAUUGACGGAACCAUUUCCGAAACACGCGGGGCAUUUUGAUCUAAGGACUACCAGGUCCUGUAGCCAAAAAUCUCUAGUCCAAUUCGAUUUAAGAAUACGAUCAUUUUUAACUCCUUGUCGGUGGCCUCAUUCAAGAAUUUCGGGAACUGACAUUUCGUCGUCUCUUGUCCAAUUCGAUUUAAGAAUACGAUCAUUUUCACUCAUUGUCGGCGGCCUCAAUCAAGAAUUUCGGGAACUGACAUUUCGUCGGUAACUCCUUUCGAGUUUAUAAGCUAGUCCACAAUAGUGUUAUACCAAAUAUUUUCUUAAUAGGUAAAAAAGUACUGAGUUUUAUGCAGUGGAGAACCAAUUAAUUCUCAUCAUUACCACAGUAAUCUUGAAAAUCGGUCGUCAUCGAAGAUGAUUAUACAUGGUUCAGCUGCUCUUGUUAUGCUACGCGCGAUCAGGACGUGCCUUAUUGCUUUUUCAACAGCAAGACCAAUUGAUAAUAUACCAUGCAAAGGGGGCAUAAUACGAAGGCCUGAACUGCAUUGAAAAAUGACCAAUAGUAGACUCUCAGCUGGUACGGAAAGAAAGCAAAGACAGUACAAAUGCCAGUGCACAAACGCAAGACUCAAAAUUGACUCGAGCUGGCGACCCCAAUCUGCCACCGCCUAUCGAGCACCCAGUUCUGCAACCACGUGCUCGAUGAGGACAGGAACAUGAGAUGGUGAUAACCAGCGCACCAAACCCCUAAAUGACCGAUAGACAGACAGCUGACAAUGACCAACGCCUUAUUGCAAUGACUCCCAUGUGAUACGAUGUCGAAUCUCAACCGCACGAUUCACUUGCCCUUCUUGGCAGCAGACUUGGUGACCUUGGCACCACUAGGAUCCUUCUUCUCGACACUCUUGAUGACACCAACGGCGACGGUCUGGCGCAUGUCCCUCACAGCAAAACGACCGAGGGGAGGAUACUCAGAGAAGGUCUCGACAACCAUGGGCUUGGUGGGAAUCAUCUUGACCAUUCCAGCAUCACCGUUCUUCAAGAACUUGGGCUCCUUCUCAAUCUCCUUACCUGAUCGCCUGUCGAUCUUGGUCACCAGCUCAGAAAACUUGACUGCAAUAUGGGAGGUGUGACAGUCAAGAACAGGGGCAUAUCCAUUUCCAAUCUGGCCAGGGUGAUUCAUGAUAAUAACUUGGGAGGUAAAGUUGGCUGCUUCCUUGGCGGGAUCGUCCUUCGAGUUGGAUGCAACGUAGCCACGCUUGAGAUCCUUGACAGCAAC